CUUUUUUGAUCUGGUAAGUUGAAACUUCUUUAACUCAAAAGUUGGACAUCUUUUUAAAAGCUUUAAGUUCUACCAAACUAACAGAGCAGCAUCACCUGAAAAACUAAAUUUUAGUUUCAGUUCAUGUUUUGGAGAAUUUUACCUGGUGUACUUUAUUUGCUAUGUUUUUUCUGAAUUAUGUGGUUGCCAUAGAAAUGAUUAAUUUAGCUGCUCUAUGUACAAUAUGGGUGUUGUAUCAUAACUGCAGCAAUUUCACGAACAUGAACACAGCAUAAAUUUCUUAUGCAAAUGUUAAUCCAUAAUGCAAGAUUACACUGAGAACGAUAAACACACUGAUGGCUGAUUUCUUAGUUUUGUGUUUUCAGUUAUGUGGUUAGCAUGCUAAGCUAGCCUUUUUUAUUGUGCACAACAUUGUAUACAUACUGUAUAGACACUAUAAAAUAAACAUACACAAUGUGACGUCAUA